AUUGAACGCUGGCGGCAUGCCUUACACAUGCAGGUCGAACGGCAGCACGGGAGCAAUCCUGGUGGCGAGUGGCGAACGGGUGAGUAAUAUAUCGGAACGUGCCCAGUCGUGGGGGAUAACGUAGCGAAAGCUACGCUAAUACCGCAUACGAUCUAUGGAUGAAAGCGGGGGAUCGCAAGACCUCGCGCGAUUGGAGCGGCCGAUAUCAGAUUAGCUAGUUGGUGGGGUAAGGGCCCACCAAGGCGACGAUCUGUAGCUGGUCUGAGAGGACGACCAGCCACACUGGGACUGAGACACGGCCCAGACGCCUACGGGAGGCAGCAGUGGGGAAUUUUGGACAAUGGGCGCAAGCCUGAUCCAGCAAUGCCGCGUGCAGGACGAAGGCCUUCGGGUUGUAAACUGCUUUUGUACGGAACGAAACGGCCCCUUCUAAUACAGGGGGCUAAUGACGGUACCGUAAGAAUAAGCACCGGCUAACUACGUGCCAGCCGCCGCCGUAA
rnacentral:rRNA from 1 species